GCUUUGUGAGGUUCCGAAGAAUGCUUUACUGGUCCAUGAAGGUUCUCAGUGACAGCUCUUCUGCCAAACCAGGCAGAACAACCCUUGAGACCAUUACAUUAACAUGGAUAAUUGGAUUGUGAUCUUUUAUGUUUGCAAUUCACUAUGCAUUCUUCCAGAGCUCUCUCCUCAAGAAGCAUCUCUCCAGAUGUGAUGAGUUUUCUGGGAAGCUGGUGGGACCUGCAGCAGUUUGUCACAGCCAUGGUCCAGUCUGUGCAAAUAAUUACCUUCAGAAUAAACCCAGCCUCCUUCCAGAACCCAUGAAGAAUUCCUAUUGUAUUAUAUGGAGUCUUCAAGACAUUUUUAUCCUCAAAGCCUCUCUGAUUACAAUGGUUCCUCAUAAAGACACUGAAGUCACAAUUCCAGACUAAUUCAUCUUUGCAUAUUCUGGAAACUAAAAAAUAAUUCUCUUGCACACAAGUAAGGCUGGAGGAAUUUCUUUCCUUUCAAACACU